rnacentral:lncRNA from 1 species
UUUUUCUAAGAACAAAGAUGAUCCCCCUCUUGGUGGCUCCUAGAGUAUUAAAACAUAGGUUUAGAAAAUAAAAACGUGCAUAAUGAAAUGACCAAAAGGCCCUUGAGAAAUCACAAGUUCGAGUAGAAAUAAAACGCGCAGCGACCUCAGCCCGUCGCUCCGACAAGUCGCUCUAGGCUUCGGGAGCGACCUCGCUGUGUCGCUGCGAGAGGUCGCUCCGGGUUCGUUCUCGCGUCUCUGGGUGAUGAAACCGCGAGCGACUUCUCCCUGUCGCUCCCAUAACGUCGCUCUCAGCUGGAGCGACCUCGCUGUGUCGCUCCGAGAGGUCGCUCCGGGCUCGUUCUCGCGUCUCCGGGUGAUGAAACCGCGAGCGACUUCUCCCUGUCGCUC